GACGAACGCUGGCGGCGUGCUUAACACAUGCAAGUCGAACGGAAAGGCCCUGCUUUUGUGGGGUGCUCGAGUGGCGAACGGGUGAGUAACACGUGAGUAACCUGCCCUUGACUUUGGGAUAACUUCAGGAAACUGGGGCUAAUACCGGAUAGGAGCUCCUGCUGCAUGGUGGGGGUUGGAAAGUUUCGGCGGUUGGGGAUGGACUCGCGGCUUAUCAGCUUGUUGGUGGGGUAGUGGCUUACCAAGGCUUUGACGGGUAGCCGGCCUGGGAGGGUGACCGGCCACAAUGGGACUACGGUACGGCCCAGACUCCAACGGGAGGCAGCAGUGGGGAAUAUUGCACAAUGGGAGCAAGCCUGAUGCGGCGACGCCGCGUGCGGGAUGACGGCCUUCGGGUUGUGAACCGCUUUCGCCUGUGACGAAGCGUGAGUGACGGUAAUGGGUAAAGAAGCACCGGCUAACUACGUG
rnacentral:rRNA from 1 species